rnacentral:rRNA from 1 species
GUGGGUAGUUUGACUGGGGCGGUCUCCUCCCAAAGCGUAACGGAGGAGCACGAAGGUUAGCUAAUCCUGGUCGGACAUCAGGAGGUUAGUGCAAUGGCAUAAGCUAGCUUGACUGCGAGCGUGACGGCGCGAGCAGGUGCGAAAGCAGGUCAUAGUGAUCCGGUGGUUCUGAAUGGAAGGGCCAUCGCUCAACGGAUAAAAGGUACUCCGGGGAUAACAGGCUGAUACCGCCCAAGAGUUCAUAUCGACGGCGGUGUUUGGCACCUCGAUGUCGGCUCAUCACAUCCUGGGGCUGAAGUAGGUCCCAAGGGUAUGGCUGUUCGCCAUUUAAAGUGGUACGCGAGCUGGGUUUAGAACGUCGUGAGACAGUUCGGUCCCUAUCUGCCGUGGGCGCUGGAGAAUUGAGGGGGGCUGCUCCUAGUACGAGAGGACCGGAGUGGACGCAUCACUGGUGUUCGGGUUGUCAUGCCAAUGGCACUGCCCGGUAGCUAAAUGCGGAAGAGAUAAGUGCUGAAA